rnacentral:rRNA from 1 species
GGGGCCUACGGGAGGCAGCAGUGAGGAAUAUUGGACAAUGGGCGCAAGCCUGACCCAGCCAUGCCGCGUGCAGGAAGACGGUCCUAUGGAUUGUAAACUGCUUUUAUACAGGAAGAAACAACUCUACGUGUAGAGUCUUGACGGUACUGUAUGAAUAAGCACCGGCUAACUCCGUGCCAGCAGCCGCGGUAAUACGGAGGGCGCAAGCGUUAUCCGGAAUCAUUGGGUUUAAAGGGUCCGCAGGCGGAUUUAUAAGUCAGUGGUGAAAUCCUAUCGCUUAACGAUAGAACUGCCAUUGAUACUGUAAGUCUUGAAUUCGGUCGGAGUGGGCGGAAUGUGUAGUGUAGCGGUGAAAUGCAUAGAUAUUACACAGAACACCGAUAGCGAAGGCAGCUCACUAGGCCUGAAUUGACGCUCAGGGACGAAAGCGUGGGGAUCAAACAGAAUUAGAUACCCUGGUAGUCCACGCUGUAAACGAUGAUUACUCGUUUUCGGCGAUAUACAGUCGGAGACUAAGCGAAAGUGAUAAGUAAUCCACCUGGGGAGUACGAUCGCAAGGUUGAAACUCAAAGGAAUUGACGGGG